CUUCAGGACAACCUUGGUAGCCUGGAAUCAGCACCUCCCGCUGCGACACAGACCUUCCACCUUCAGUCUUGCUAUCUCUUCUGUGCACCUUUAGAUAGUGUUGAUGAUGAUGACAUCUUUGCCUGUCUGCCUGGCCAACCUCCUGCAGCGCUCUAUAAACCAUCUGGUGUCUUCUAGAAAAGGAAAAAAUUGAACGACAUCUGUCCUUAGCAUGGUGAAGAGGGAAAAAAAGAAGAUACGGUCAUAUCCCAGAAAGAGAAAAUUCAUUUCAACUUCAGUAAAAGCUGUGUGUUUCUUAACUGCCCUGAUGUAGAUGUUGCACUCCAAGAGGCAGAGAACCUGUUGAUGACCUAAAUCCAACCAACUCCUUUCAUGAAGUGUUCUGUGGUGAUGGCACUCAGAUAGAUAAGGAGGAAGAAGAAAUCUAAGCCCACUACUAGAAGACUGGAAAAGAAGUGGUCAAGAAAGAAAUGAUUUUCAGUGCUGCUUCUCCUGCUGCAGUGGUGGUAGGUGGAAAGCAGUACUGGGUGAGCAAAGAGUGCUUAAGGGAAUCGGAGAGGGCGAUGCCUAUGAUGAACAUUUCUCAUAGAGGUGAGUGAAAUGAGUGGGAAGAUACGACAUGUGGUGUAGGGGAGCAGGAUAAUAAAUCCAUACUUUCAUAAUCAUUUGUGACUAGGCACUCAGGGUGGGAUUCAUUUGACAAAAAAUAGAUGUUUUCAUUUGAGCUACUCACAUUCUGUGACCUUUAGAGCCAGUGGAGAGAGGUAAGCAUUUUUUAAAACAUUAGCUUGUGUUUUUGUGGCUUUAUUGGUUAAGAAAGAAGAGCUAGUUUUUCAUAUAAUGCAAAGCUUUUGCCUAAUCCCAAAGAAAGGAUUUAUUACUACUUUGGCGGGGAGCUGUGCUGGAAACUCUUCCCACUUCAGUUCCCUGGACAAUGUCCUCCUCUGAAAUAUGGUUUGACUGUUCUGAACAGUCUUGCAUUGCAAAUUCACACACUGCAAUAUUGACAUCUGGCUUGGCAUAUGGGAUACAGAUAGUCCUUGAUUGCUGAACAGCUGUGCUGCUUUGAAAAGAAACAAUUGCAUUUGAAGAAUAUGGAAUAUAGAGUAGGCCUUGUCCUAUCCCACACAUCUUGCUGACAUUUCUUUUUCUAAAUUACCAGUCUGUUUAUUAAAUUUCCACAGUAUAAAAAAAAACCAGAAUUUAUACAAGACUGAAGUAGAUGGUAAUAUUGUCAGAUAUGCCAGCAAACAAUCCAUCGACAACACAUGUUAGGAAUCGGUCCAUUACAAUUAGUCAAGAACAAUGCCAGAAAAUGAUGGGACUGAGUAUAAACAAACAAACAAGCACAAAGGAGGGGACAAGAGAAGUACUGAAGGUUUAGCAAAUGUUUCCAUCGAUUUUGUAUUUAAAAAAAGCAUUCUGAUGAAGAAACCAAAAGUUUUAAAACAAACUCAAUAACUGCAAGAUAGUGAGCUCAUUUACACUGUAACCAAAAGUGCUAGUAAAAGUUGCAUGUCAGCUGUCACUUGGUCAGGAAAUGAUCCUCCAUAGCAAAGUAUUAUGCAUUCAUACAGGGAAGGAAAGCAACUCUUUAGAACCUAAAGUUUUCUCAGUAAAGGCAGGAAUGGUCAAACUGAUGUAUCUUGUUCUGAAUUUUGUUGUGUAAGGAAUGUUGUAAAUUGAAGUUGUUCAUUCAGACUUUGCUUUAUUUUGCAAACCCUGGUAUAUAUUUCUACAGUUAUACCCAUUUUCAUGAUUUGUCAUAGUAGGGCUGUAUAUCCAACUGAUAUACAUUUCACUUACAUUUCACCUACAAAAAGGUUUUUUUGCCAGGUUAACUGUAGACACUUUCCAUCAGUCCUGUAUCUUAUGCCAUGACUUUUAGAUGCAUAGUUUUAAAGGCCUUAGGUGCUAUUAUGAACACCAAGUCUGCCCUAAUAUGUAACAGUUUCACCCGGUAAAUUCUAUGUCAGUCAUGGUAUCUGCUAGAAAGAUAGCAUGUCUGUAAAAGAAGGUAUCUAGUACUGAUUUAAAGACCUGAGGACUAGAAUUAAUUCCACCUGAGUUAUGUAAGUUAGCAGUCACUUCAGGCUUUCUCAAUAGUCAACAAGAGUAGGUAGUAUUGGGGUGAAUAAAGCUGAAUUUACCUUUUUAAGGUGCCUAUUGCAUAUUCAGGAAGCCUAAGACUGUUAUCCUCCUAUGUCCAUUAAGUGCUUGAAAGCGGGAUGGGACAAAUCUAGAACGAAGUGGGCCAAAGUUAUUGUAGGCAAAAUUCUAGCAAAAAGAAAUUGAAGAGAAAUGUUGCAGAAUAAUACAUUGGCUAUACAAGAGACUCUCCUGGCAGCACAACCCUAUGACUCAUCAGAAUAACUAAAAAUGUCUUGCAAUACAGAGAAAUGAGGGGACUGUUGAAACAGAGGAAUAAUAGUGAUUUUUCAAAUGAAAAUAAAUGAUUGUUAUUUAUUCAAUUCAGGGUAAUCUGAAAGAGUACAGAUUUGUACUAUUCUAGCAGGUCAGUGCAUGAUCAAAGCCUUUUAACUCAACAGAUCCCUUCACAAAAUUUAUUUGUACUAAAAAAAUUAAUGUGACAAAACCCUACAAUACCACACAGCCAAACAAACCAAAGAUGCGGUUUCAAAGUCUUUUAUCUUCUAUAUUUUCACUCCAGAGCAGAUUUCUUUUACCUCUGCCAAGUUCAUGAAAGUCUUAUAUUUUUAUUUCAUCUGUAUUUGUUAUUAAGUUGUCCUAGAGUUCGCCUUUUGCUUUCAGUAUCUUUAUAGAAGCUUCUUACUAUAAACUUUAAAUAUAUGGGACACAUCCUUCCCUGGAUCAUUAAUUCUUCCCCUGCACCAGGCCGAGUAGGGCAGAAAGCUUGCAGCAAAGACACAAAAUGUCUUUCAUAUCCUCUUCUGGGAAGAAAUGCGAUCAAUGGCUCAACCUCCACAUCCAAAGUGUCAUUAAUUGAUUUGGCAGAUGACCUCCCAGGAAUGCCAAAUCUAUUCAUUGCAGAAUCUGUGGUACAUGGAAUUUCGAAAUCUUCCAUGUGUUCUUCCAAAUUCAGUGCUGCACUGUGGUAUAGCAAACAGCUGGGAUUCAAAAUGUGUUACAGUUUUUAUUACAGAUUGCAAAUAGAGGAAUAAACAGCAACAAAAAAGAAUACGGGAUAGACCAGGUUUCAGUUCUUAGAAUGCUGGUGUAUUUUUCACUCAAAAUCUUAACACUUUCCUAUCAGCCUGCAUGAUUCAUGGCUCUGUUGUUCUAUUCUCUGUUUUGACACUUGGCUGGCCCAUAUUAAGAUGCUUUAAGAAUGUACCAUGAUCUCUCAUUUCACUGAAAUAUCACAGAGUGUACAAAGGCCAAAGCAAGAGACGGGAUAUAAGAAGCUCCAUAUUUAGCUGCUUCACUUAUCUUGGCACACAUACCCUAUUCUCUUCUCCUCCCCUCAUGCUAGCAAUCAGGUCUUCCUGAUGAACUAUCAGUUCCUUACUGACAAACACUGACACCAUAAGAGGUAUGUAGAACUGAAGAUUAAUAAGUUGUGCUAAGUAUUCCUACCAAAUAUCUACUAGAGGUCAGCUUGAUAAGUUAUUUAAGGUCCAAAUCCCCAUAUACACAGGAGCUGUUCAAAUUAAACCAAAACGGGCUUCUCAAAUUAGAAGUAUGCUGGGCCUGAUCCUGUAAACAUGAUCAGAGCACAGAAAACUGUGUAGCCAGGAUACGCUUUUGUACUGUACGAUAGUAAUGAAAAUAUUUGGUAAGGUGAGACUGACACAGAUCCUUUCCUGAUUUAGGGCAGAGGCUGAAUAUAGGUUACCCACAUGCCCAGGAAAAAGCCCUGUUCUGCUGAGUUGCUCUGUUUCAACUCCUUUGACACAGCUAUUUUAUUUGGUAUAAAAGUCUUCUGAAGGAGGGAUCUGAACCUGGGUGUCCCAUCUCUUAGGUGAAUCCUCUCAGCAGUUGCUUAGAAAACCAGCCUCUUGUUUAGUCUUAAGCAGGCAGUAAGGCAGUCCAAAUUCAAGCCACUUCCAGGAUCUCCCAGGCUUUUGAUUGUUGUGAUAACUACAUGAAACCUAUUCUGUGUUAAGGAGCAACAGGGUAAAAACAGACCCCAGGAACAAAUGUAUCUCUCCAUUUCCACAAAGCUGAUGUUUUUUUUUCAGACUUUCUGAGGCACUUCAGUUGUAGUAAAUACAUAGUCAAUUGUCUAAGUAGCAGACUGACAUUAAUGAGGGGCAUGUGGAAAUUCAUGUCUGAGCCAUUCUGAUUUCAAGGGAUGGCAGACACUUACUUCACCUGGGACUUUUUUUUUAAAUCCUGGUCUUGCUUUUUCACUGGAGCAGGCAACAUUUCUGACAAGCUUCAUGAAGGCAUUGGAGAUAAUUGAUUAUGGCAUUGUCUACUUUUCAAGGUCAAAGCACAAGUUAUAAAAGUAGGAAUUUUAUUUCAGGAACGGAUGGCAUAUAUUUUUAAGUGAUAAGCCCAUAGGAUGCUAAAUAUGUCCUCCUGGAAAUUUUAAAAAUGUAAACUAUCAUUACUCUGUUCUGUUCUGCGGUUGCAAGCAUUGGUGCCAGAAUUUUUUUAUGCCUGUGGUAACAAAAUCUCUCUCCCUCUCCCUUUGCCCUUAGCCAGCCUUCCCAGGCCAGAAGUUACAACUGAUUUUAGGAAGAGGCCUUUUUGCAUUUGGUGUACAUAUACUUGUAUACACACAUAUUUAAGUCCAUAUCCAGCACAGUGGAGAUCACCUCAGCAGGCUCGUUCUUCAAAGCCUUCCAUUUAGGGAAUUCUCUCCUUGGACAAAAAUCUUCUGUGAAAUUAUGGCUUCUAAAAAAACUGAAGCAGUAGAUAUGUUUUACAAAUGUUUUGAGGUAAAGCUAGGUUUUACUUUUUCCUAGUGAGUUAUUUCUGUUUUAUACAGUUCUUCCGCAUGCAUUCUGCAUGGGAGAAUGUCAUUGUCAUCACAGAAACACCACGUGAGGAAUACUUCUCGCACAUGAAUAUUUCUCAUAUGUAGAUUUUAUCAUUAUUUUUUGUUACAUAAAAUUCCAGAAACCUGCUUCAAUAUUCACUGCAGUCAAUGCAAAGUCAGUCAUUUACUUCAGUGGGCUUCAGAUCAAGACAGUGCUGAGAAAUGGGUGUAAUAAAGACCAUUAACACAGAAUUGUUUUCUGGACUUGGCAUUUUUAAAUCAUUUCUCUUUGGUUUUUGAGCUACAUAGUUCAUGCUCAAUAAAAAGUGGUUAUAGUGUUGUUACACACUGUAACUGAGCCAACAACUUAAGUUGCACUGUAACUAAAUCAUAACCUUUGGACAAGUUACAAGGAAAAUGUAUUUGCUUUAUUGAUUUUUAGUCAUUUCUGCACUGAUCAUUUACUUUAAAUACAAAGACUGAAACAAGGAUAUGAAAAUGCAUAGUUUUUUAGCCUUUGACUAAAUGUCAUUACAGCAAAAUAAUCUUCUGUAGCUUCAUAUAAUAAGUAAGUGAUUUAGAUUUAUUCCUUCAUUACCACUUUUUGCAAAUAUUUCAAAAUAGCAGUAGUAAUAAACUUCUUUGAUUAAUAUAGAUAUAUCUAUUAAGGAAUUAGACGAGGGCAUGCUUUGAUUUUUGUGAAUUGUUCCAAGAAAUGUAACCUGUAUUGUAGUAGCAGCCAGAGGUCUCAUACAGACAGGGAAAAAACGUGUCAGAAGUAUGUUACAGAUUUAUUGAGAAAGGGUAACAUUGCAGUCUAAAUUAGGACAGUUGAAUUGACUACAUCUUUGUUCUCUUUGUUUUCUGCAAAAUUAUUCUCUAAUUUUGUUGAAAUUAAACAUAUGGUUUUGUUUCUGCUGUUUGAUUAACUACAACAUUUUUGAAGAGAGGAAAAAUCAAAGAGAUUUCAAAUUAGCUGUGAAAAUGCUUGCCCUGUGAUUCUUUAAAAAUAUUUGAACAAACUUUUAUUAGGAAUUUGAAGGAAGUGAUAUUAUGUGUUUCUUUAGGCACUGUCAUCAAUCCAAAACAAUAAUCCUAGCAAAACCCAUAGAAUUGUAUAUUGUUCUUUAACGACAAAGCCUGUCUCCCCAGCAGAGCGUUGCACGAGGGAGAGGGUACUCCGUAUGAACGUGGCCAUAAGGCUUCCAGGCAGAGCUGGUUGCCCUUAGCCAGGUGAAGGGUCUCAGGUCUUUUUGCAUGUGGCCACAUAAGUAUAUAUGCACACACACAUACCAAAUGUGGGACACUGUCUGUGAAGAAGUGCUGGUCAGCACAGAUUGGGCAGUGAUAUACUGUUGCUCUCAAAAAACCCUUUUACAGGUAGUACUUUUUCAAUACCUAUAAAUAAUGUUCCAUUAUUACCUGACAGUAAUUUACGGAGACUAAACAGAUGCCUGUGCCUUUAAAACCUGGUAUAAAACAUUAUAAUAAAAUUCAGGAAAAAAAAAGUUGGUCAGUCUUGAACAAAAGUCAUUGCACAUUUUGCUCUUAUCUCCAAACCCAGCAAUAAUAGAUCUCAUAAAUAUCUGAUUUAGAGGGAAGUUAGACUCAGCUGACAAGUUGCAUGAAGCAGUUCAGAAGUGGUAUUUGUUUGAAAUCAGAACUAUCUAUCCUUCAAUCCUGUAGAUAAGGCAUCUGCAAAAAAAUAUGGCAUAGGUUCCUUCCCAGGCCACUGUUACUCUCAUGUGUCAUCUUUACCCCACGUGGUCAUAUAAUGUAGACGGCCUGUGUUCCUAGUAUCACGUUUUCUGUUGUUGUGUCUAUCUGGUAACUAUUUUUUAAAACGCAUGAUCGUAGAAAAGAGCUGCAACAUAUUCAUUUAAUGCUAUACACAUAAACAUCAAAAGUGGUAUUUUUUCAGCUCAUCUGAACUUGGUCAAGGACAUUAGAGACUUUUAAAUACUGAAAAAGAACAUUUUUCUCAUCUGUCUGAGACACUGCUUUGUGAAAAUCCACUUUACCAUUCUUCUGUCCCCUUGUAUUAUCUGAGACAAAUGUAUGGAUGUUGUUCCUACAUCAGGAAAUUAUAGACAUCUCCUCUUGAAGGGAAGACCAAAUGCAAGUAAUAAAAUAACUGCAUUUUGUUAAUAAAUUAGCAGAGGACUGAAUGUUUAUUUUUGUUGGAAAAGCAAACCUGGCCUGGAAAUGAAAAUCAGUCUGAAGCAUUGAACUAGGAUUGUAGGUUAGAAAAGAAAAGCAGGAAGACAUAUAAGACAUGGGAAAUUCAUGAGAGAUAUUGAGAAGAAAUGUUUUUGUCGUCAUUUUGGAGGCUAAAAUAUAUGCAUUUUGAGGUUCUAAUAAUGAUUUACAAAGAUAGCUUUUGCUAAAGUUGGAACUCUCUGCAAUCUAACAGCCUCAUCUGCCUUGUAUGUGUAACAUUUGAAACUUCUUGUCUAAUAUAAUAAAAUUAAAAAAAUUUUAUGUAACACGAGGGAUUUUAACCAAUUACCAUUUUAUGUUAUAAUUAUUACUUGGUGAAUGAAAAAUUUAUAUUCUUAUUUUAAUCUUAUCAUAUGGAGAAAUGUCCAAACUAUGCAAGUUGUUAAACCUUCUCUGGUUAGUGACUCAUGCAUGAACUUAUGCUCUUUCCCUUCAGAAUAAUUCCAAUCCAAUAAAGGAAAGAAAAAAAAUGGGAGUGGUGGAAAACUUUAAUUUCAGACUACAUGUUGUUCAUGAACUGUUUGUUUAACUCUAUUUGUAUUGGUUGGGUUGAUACCUGUGUCACAUGAUAAUGUUUUUUCUUCAUGAUUGGAAGCUAAAACUGAAUCACAAAACAAUUACUAGUGACUAAUAAAAAGCACUCUCAUUUUCUUUAUCUAGUCACAAUAGCAGUU